rnacentral:tRNA from 1 species
GGGCGGAUAGCUCAGUUGGGAGAGCACCGGUUUUACACACCGGAUGUCACAGGUUCGAACCCUGUUUCGCCCACCA